CCCUUAGAUGUUCUGGGCUGCACGCGCGCUACACUGUUGCAUUCAGCGAGUUUUAACCAAGGCCGAAAGGUCAAGGUAAUCUUUGAAAGUGCAACGUGCUUGGGCUAGAUGAUUGCAAUUAUUCAUCUUAAACGAGGAAUGCCUAGUAAACGCAUGUCAUCAGCGUGCAUUGAUUACGUCCCUGCCCUUUGUACACACCGCCCGUCGCUCCUACCGAUUGGAUGAUCCGGUGAGGCUUUGGGAUCUGAGCGGAAAGAGCGUUUCGCUGUUUCUGCUCGGAAAACUCAGUCGAACCUUAUCAUUUAGAGGAAGGAGAAGUCGUAACA
rnacentral:rRNA from 1 species